rnacentral:misc_RNA from 1 species
CGUAGGUGAACCUGCGGAAGGAUCAUUACAGAGUUCAUGCCCUCACGGGUAGAUCUCCCACCCUUGAAUAUUUAUACCUUAGUUGCUUUGGCAGGCCGUGGAAACACCAUGGGCUCCGGCUUAUGCGUGCCUGCCAGAGGAAACAAACUCUGUUUUUAGUGAUGUCUGAGUACUAUAUAAUAGUUAAAACUUUCAACAACGGAUCUCUUGGUUCUG